UUGAACAUUCCCCUGUAGUAGUUCCCCUUCUAUAGGAGUUUCAUUCUGUAGUCCCUGGUGAUCUUCCGGAUGCACUUCUUCCGAUGCAUGAUAUCCAACACGCAAUUGAUCUAGUUUCCGGAGCAUCUCUGCCCAACCUUCCACAACAUAGGCUCAACCCGAAUGCAUAUACUAGGAUCUGGGAUUUAAUGUUACCGACAGUUGAGUUUGCAUAUAAUAGUUCGGUUAAUAAGUCCAUAGGCAUGAGUCCAUUCGAAGUGGUGCAUGAUUACAAACCUAAGCAACCCAUAGACCUAUUUUUUAUAUAUCAUCAGUAUAGAGUCUUUGAGUCUGCACAGUCAUUUGUAUCACAUCCACAUUCAUUAUAUCAAAAAAUCAGCAAUUGUAUUCACUUUAAUAACUUAAAAUAUAAAUCUCUUGCUGAUUUACACAGACGUUAUAAAGAGUUAAGUGAAAGAGGUUAUGUCAUGAUAAGAAUUAGGCUUGAACGACUUUCUUCGGAAACAUUCAAAAAAUUGCAAGCUUGUAGUGCGGAAUCGUUCAAAGUCUUAAAGAAAAUCAGUUCGAAUGCAUAUGUCGUAGAUCUUCCUGAUGACUAUGGGAUUAGUGCAACAUUUAAUAUUGAAAAUUUAGUCCCAUACAAAAAACAACAUUCAUGUCUUCUGACCCCUUUAUUGAUAUACCUGCCCAUGUUGAACAUCCUGACUCAAGGUCCGCUGUACCGGUACCGAUGGCGGUCCGAACCGGUACGUACCGAUCUUGUACCGAUCCGUACCAGUACCGAUACCAGAUUCCAUACUGAUCCGGUACUGGUCUCAGCCCAGACCGGUAUGUACCGGCCUGUACCGGCUGGUAUGGACCGGUACGGCAGACCAUGUCCUGACUUAUUACCUGCUAUUGAGCCACUAGCUCUCAAAUUUUAUGCACACAGAGAACAAAUAGAACAUAUAUUGGAUGAGCAGGUUAUGUCAACCAAGAACGGUGGUUACCAAUGUUACCUUAUUCGGUGAAAAGGUCGAUCAAAGUCUGACGUGACGUGGAUUUUCAGAGCUCAGUUGCAACGCUUUGACCCCGAUCUCCUGGAGCAGUACGACAGCCAGCCAGACCUGUACUCGACGGGGUCGAGUUUUUUCUACCCGGAAGGAGUUGAUGGGGACAUUAGAGCCCUUCAUUCAGAUGAUCCUGAGCCCACGGAUUGAGUCAGACCUGGAUUGUGUCCAUUUGAGUCCGAGUCAUUUUCUUUUAUUGCAUUAUUUGCUUUUGUCUUAGUCAAAUCAAUUUGGUCAAUUAUUUUGUUAUUAGACUAGUCAAUUAGGUUUAUGUAAUUGGGUCAAUAUGUAAGGUCUAUAUAAAGACCACCCCUCUCAUGUAUGAGGCAAUUGAUGAUUGAAUGAAAAAAAAUCCUAGCCUCCUUCUUGUUNNNNNNNNNNNNNNNNNNNNCCUUGAACAUUCCCCUGUAGUAGUUCCCCUUCUAUAGGAGUUUCAUUCUGUAGUCCCUGGUGAUCUUCCGGAUGCACUUCUUCCGAUGCAUGAUAUCCAACACGCAAUUGAUCUAGUUUUCGGAGCAUCUCUGCCCAACCUUCCACAACAUAGGCUCAACCCGAAUGCAUAUACUAGGACUUGGGAUUUAAUGUUACCGACAAUUGAUUUUGCAUAUAAUAGUUCGGUUAACAAGUCCAUAGGCAUGAGUCCAUUCGAAGUGGUGCAUGAUUACAAACCUAAACAACCCAUAGACCUAUUUUUUAUAUCUCAUCAGUAUAAAGUCUUUGAGUCUGCACAGUCAUUUGUAUCACAUCCACAUUCAUUGUAUCAAGAAAUCAGCAAUUGUAUUCACUUUAAUAACUUAAAAUAUAAAUCUCUUGCUGAUUUACGCAGACGUUAUAAAGAGUUAAGUGGAAGAGGUUAUGUCAUGAUAAGAAUUAGGCUUGAACGACUUUCUUCGGAAACGUUCAAGAAAUUGCAAGCUUGUAGUGCGGAAUCGUUCAAAGUCUUAAAAAAAAUUAGUUCGAAUGCAUAUGUUGUGGAUCUUCCUGAUGACUAUGGGAUUAGUGCAACAUUUAAUAUUGAAAAUUUAGUCCCAUACAAAAGACAACAUUCAUGUCUUCUGACCCCUUUAUUGAUAUACCUGCCCAUAUUGAACACCCUGACUCAAGAUCCGCUGUACCGGUACCGGUGGCGGUCCGAACCGGUCCGUACCGGUCCCGUACCGAUCUUGUACCGGUCCGUACCGGUACCGGUACCGGAUUUCAUACUGAUCCGGUACUGGUCUCAGCCCAGACCGGUAUGGGCCGGUACAGGCAGACCAUGUCCUGACUUAUUACCUGCUAUUGAGCCACUAGCUCUCAAAUUUUAUGCACGCAGAGAACAAAUAGAACAUAUAUUGGAUGAGCAGGUUAUGUCAACCAAGAACGGUGGUUACCAAUGUUACCUUGUUCGGUGAAAAGGUCGACCAAAGUCUGACGUGACGUGGAUUUUCAGAGCUCAGUUACAACGCCUUGAUCCCGAUCUCCUGGAGCAGUACGACAGCCAGCCAGACCUGUACUUGACGGGGUCGAGUUUUUUCCACCCGGAAGGAGUUGAUGGGGACAUCAGAACCCUUCAUUCAGAUGAUCCUGAGCCCACGGAUUGAGUCAGACCCGGAUUGUGUCCAUUUGAGUCCGAGUCAUUUUCUUUUAUUGCAUUAUUUGCUUUUGUCUUAGUCAAGUCAAUUUAGUCAAUUAUUUUGUUAUUAGACUAGUCAAUUAGGUUUAUGUAAUUGGGUCAAUAUGUAAGGUCUAUAUAAAGACCACCCCUCUCAUGUAUGAGGCAAUUGAUGAUUGAAUGAAAAAAAAUCCUAGCCUCCUUCUUGUUCUUCUUCUUCUUCCUCCUCCUCUUCCCUUCUUCCUGCGUCUCUAUAACCUCUUCUUCCUUCUCCCUCCCUUGUUCUUCCUCCUCUUCCCUUGCAGUUGUGCUACAUCAAGAUAGCAUUCCCCGUUGGACGCUAUCUUCGCAUCUAUAUAAUGAGAUAACAAUCUAGAGUUGUUAUCUCAUUAAAGUAGAUUGGGAUAAAGUUAGGAUAAGAACAUACCAAAUAGGUGAUUUGCUGAUCAUUAUCCCAUUAUCUCUCACAUGAUCUAUAACACAAUCUAUUUGGCAUAAACAAUAUUCUUGGGAUAUUCAAUCACAAGAAUCAUGGUUUAUAUCAAUAGCCUGAGGGGUGAGACUAACAGAAGUUGCUCUUCUCAAAAAAAGAGAAAUAUGCCAAAUGUCCAUCUGACCAGCAUGCAACANN
rnacentral:lncRNA from 1 species